UAGGGAAUCUUCGGCAAUGGACGAAAGUCUGACCGAGCAACGCCGCGUGAGUGAAGAAGGUUUUCGGAUCGUAAAACUCUGUUGUUAGAGAAGAACAAGGACGUUAGUAACUGAACGUCCCCUGACGGUAUCUAACCAGAAAGCCACGGCUAACUACGUGCCAGCAGCCGCGGUAAUACGUAGGUGGCAAGCGUUGUCCGGAUUUAUUGAGCGUAAAGCGAGCGCAGGCGGUUUCUUAAGUCUGAUGUGAAAGCCCCCGGCUCAACCGGGGAGGGUCAUUGGAAACUGGGAGACUUGAGUGCAGAAGAGGAGAGUGGAAUUCCAUGUGUAGCGGUGAAAUGCGUAGAUAUAUGGAGGAACACCAGUGGCGAAGGCGGCUCUCUGGUCUGUAACUGACGCUGAGGCUCGAAAGCGUGGGGAGCAAACAGG
rnacentral:rRNA from 1 species